rnacentral:rRNA from 1 species
AGUGAACGCUGGCGGUAGGCCUAACACAUGCAAGUCGAACGGCAGCACCGUACGAGCUUGCUCUUACGGGUGGCGAGUGGCGGACGGGUGGGGAAUACAUCGGCAUCUACUUUUUCGUGGGGGAUAACGUAGGGAAACUUACGCUAAUACCGCAUACGACCUACGUGUGAAAGCAGGGGAUCUUCGGACCUUGCGCGAUUGAAUGGGCCGAUGUCGGAUUAGCUAGUUGGCGGGGUAAAGGCCCACCAAGGCGACGAUCCGUAGCUGGUCUGAGAGGAUGAUGAGGGACACUGGAACUGAGACACGGUCCAGGCUCCGACGGGAGGCAGCAGUGGGGUAGAGUGGACAAUGGGGGCAAGCCUGAUCCAGGCAUACCGCGUGGGUGAAGAAGGCCUGCGGGUUGUAAAGCCGUUUUGUUGGGAAAGAAAAGCAGCAGGUUAAUACACCGCUGUUCUGACGGUACCCAAAGAAUAAGCACCGGCUAACUUCGUG